rnacentral:rRNA from 1 species
UUGAAAGGGAAACGAUUGAAGUCAGUCGUACCGACGGAGAUCAACCUUUGAAAGCGGGGAGGUAUUCGAGGAGUUUAAAAGCCCUCUUGCGCUCACGUACUUCGUUUUCUUUGGUGCACUUCUUCGUAUGGUAGGUUAACAUCAAUUUUGGACGUUACAAAAUGAUCGGGGGAAUGUAGCUUCGAUUUUUUCGAAGUGUUAUAGACCUUGGUAGAUGUGACGACCGGGAUUGAGGAUUGCAACGAAUGCUUUCGGGCUAUCCGUCUGACCUCUGGUGGUUGCUUUGGGGUCGAAAGCGUGCUUACGACUUUAAAGUUGGCUAUCAAAAGGCUAGAACGUGAUUAAAUUCGUUAAGGAUGUUGACGUA